UGAGUACAGUGGCGUACGGGUGAGUAACACGUGGAUCAUCUACCUUUUAGUGGGGGAUAACUCUGGGAAACCGGAGCUAAUACCGCAUAAUCCCGUGAGGGGAAAGGAGCAAUUCGCUGGAAGAGGAGUCCGCGGUCGAUUAGCUAGUUGGUAGGGUAAAAGCCUACCAAGGCUGUGAUCGAUAGCCGGCCUGAGAGGGCACACGGCCACACUGGCACUGAAACACGGGCCAG
rnacentral:rRNA from 1 species